UCCCUGAUAGCUCAGAGGUUAAAGCGUCUGCCUGCAAUGCAGGAGACCUGGGUUUGAUUCCACGGUUGGGAA
rnacentral:tRNA from 1 species